rnacentral:lncRNA from 1 species
AUUGCGGUCUCCCGACUGGCCUUCUGGGUAGAGUCUGCGCGAUUGAGAGAGUCGCUCGCGGUACAGCAACCCACUCCGCUCCGCGCGCCCUGUUCGGCGUCUUCAGCAACUCCGCACGAAAGGAGCUACCAGGAGCUUUCAGAGAAAAACUACGGAAAGAUAGACAUUCCCGACCUUUUUCACAAUAUCGCCGGAGAUAAAUAGUAUAUUUUCGGAAUAGACUGGGAUUGACGAGAUUGGAAGUAAGAGCUUUGAAACGGCAUGCUCUGAUAAAACCCAACAUGGCGCUGAGAGAUACGACCGAGCUGAAUGCAUUUCAGGAGUCCGCGGACCUCGCCACCUGUAUCCUUGCGCACUGCUAAACUGUACGUUACCAGCCGCUGGGACGUUCUAUAAAGGAUGAUUGGAAACCUUAUUCUAGGGAUUUGUCACACUAAGUCGAUGUUGACGGCAUUUUCUCUCGUCUGGAAACAUAUUGACAUAUUACUGUGAAAAAGUAUUGUGCGAGUGUAAAGGAAAAACUAUAACACAUUGUUUCAUUGACUGACAAGUAAAUAACCCUUUAGCCACACUUCUGCUUAUUUAUAUCCAACGGUUUGAAUAUUCGCUGGCCCGGGAUGUCUAUGCUUUUAUAACGGAAUCGUAACCUCCACGCACGAAUAUUUGCUCAGAGCCGUGAACAACUUGGAAAAACGGGAAAAGGAAAGUCGGAAAUAGAGGAUAUUGACCAGAGCGCUGGUCGGUUGGAGGUGUUUUAAGACGGACUGUCCCAUGAGGGGAUGACAUGCUCUCCGCUACACAGAUGUACGGAACGGUUCCCCCAUGGAUGAGUCACGAGAGGGCCCAAAUGUAUGGGAUGGUCAUGGAGGAGAGUGCUCCGUAGCAAAGGUUGAAUGGCCUCCCACUGGAGUGGUCUGUGAAC